rnacentral:rRNA from 1 species
CUACGGGAGGCAGCAGNGGGGAAUUUUGGACAAUGGGCGAAAGCCUGAUCCAGANCAUGCCGCGUGAGUGAAGAAGGCCUUCGGGUUGUAAA